UACGGAGGAUCCAAGCGUUAUCCGGAUUUAUUGGGUUUAAAGGGUGCGUAGGCGGCCUGUUAAGUCAGGGGUGAAAGACGGUAGCUCAACUAUCGCAGUGCCCUUGAUACUGAUGGGCUUGAAUGUGGGAGAGAUUGGUAGAAUACCUGGUGUAGUGGUGAAAUACGUAGAUAUCAGGUGGAAUACCGGUGGCGAAGGCGGCCAAUUGGCCCAACAUUGACGCUGAGAUACGAAAGCGUGGGGAUCAAACAGG
rnacentral:rRNA from 1 species